CACGUAGGGCGCAAGCGUUGUCCGGAAUUAUUGGGCGUAAAGAGCUCGUAGGCGGUCUGUUGCGUCCGCUGUGAAAACCCGGGGCUUAACCCUGGGCUGGCAGUGGAUACGGACAGACUAGAGGUAGGUAGGGGAGAAUGGAAUUCCCGGUGUAGCGGUGAAAUGCGCAGAUAUCGGGAGGAACACCGGUGGCGAAGGCGGUCUCUGGGCCUUACCUGACGCUGAGGAGCGAAAGCGUGGGGAGCGAAACAGG
rnacentral:rRNA from 1 species